GCAUAUCAAUAAGCGGAGGAAAAGAAACCAACCGGGAUUGCCCCAGUAACGGCGAGUGAAGCGGCAACAGCUCAAAUUUGAAAUCUGGCCCCCCCCGGGCCCGAGUUGUAAUUUGUAGAGGAUGCUUUUGGCGAGGUGCCGCCCGAGUUCCCUGGAACGGGACGCCGCAGAGGGUGAGAGCCCCGUCUGGCUGGCCACCGAGCCUCUGUAAAGCUCCUUCGACGAGUCGAGUAGUUUGGGAAUGCUGCUCAAAAUGGGAGGUAUAUGUCUUCUAAAGCUAAAUAUUGGCCAGAGACCGAUAGCGCACAAGUAGAGUGAUCGAAAGAUGAAAAGCACUUUGAAAAGAGGGUUAAACAGUACGUGAAAUUGUUGAAAGGGAAGCGCUCAUGACCAGACUUGGGCUUGGCGGAUCAUCCGGCGUUCUCGCCGGUGCACUCCGCCUCGCCCAGGCCAGCAUCAGUUCGCGCCGGGGGACAAAGGCUUCGGGAAUGUGGCUCCUCCGGGAGUGUUAUAGCCCGCUGCGCAAUACCCUGGGGCGGACUGAGGUUCGCGCAUCUGCAAGGAUGCUGGCGUAAUGGUCAUCAGCGACCCGUCUUGAAACACGGACCAAGGAGUCGUCUUCGUAUGCGAGUGUUCGGGUGUCAAACCCCUACGCGUAAUGAAAGUGAACGCAGGUGAGAGCUUCGGCGCAUCAUCGACCGAUCCUGAUGUUCUCGGAUGGAUUUGAGUAAGAGCAUACGGGGCCGGACCCGAAAGAAGGUGAACUAUGCCUGUAUAGGGUGAAGCCAGAGGAAACUCUGGUGGAGGCUCGCAGCGGUUCUGACGUGCAAAUCGAUCGUCAAAUAUGGGCAUGGGGGCGAAAGACUAAUCGAACCUUCUAGUAGCUGGUUUCCGCCGAAU
rnacentral:rRNA from 1 species